AUGAAAGUUUGCAAGUCCAAUAUUCCACUAAAAUUUAAAUUUUUCAUGUGGUAUCUUCGAAGGGGACUUGUGCUAACGAAAGGCAACAUCGCCUGCCGCAACUAGCAAGGAAGCAAGAAGUGUAGUUUUUGUACUCACGACCAGACAAUCAAACACCUCUUUUUUCAGUGCAAGUUUGUGCGUUCUACAUGA
rnacentral:rRNA from 1 species